UGUCUCCUGAAUGUUCUCAGGUGAUAGCCCAAACCUGUGCUGAGAAAAGAAAUAAAGACAAGAAAGUUAGACAGGGCCCUCACUGGACAGAGGAUAACUGGCCAGCCCAACACUCCAGAUUUCAAUUUCCAUUGAGACUAAAGGGCCAUAGCGUAGGAGCAAUAGGCAGCUGGGCCGGAGUGGCCUCAGUGAGUCAAUGCAGGGAUAUUCACUGAGCAUGUAGCUUGGGCCAGGGACUGCUUAAAAGGAAGCUGCUGGGGGAACACCGACCAUGGUCCUCAGCAGAGCAGGAAGCUGGGAUCCCAGGAGCCAUGGCAAGCUCCAGAUGAGAAGUGAGUACAAACUUGCAGAACAGACAAAGAGUGAGGAAGUGGAGGCUAGGUCAAAAAGCGGAGAGUAAAGCAGGCUUCUGUCCUUCAAGGCCCAGCCCAGAAGACCCUAUGCCCAGUGAUAUAAGAUCCUCAUCACUCUGCCCCAGGAACAACUGGUAUGAUCCAUGAGCAGUCCUGGGCAGGGCAAAUACCUGGGCUUUGAGUACUGAAUAAGGUGCGAUGCACAGUCCCUAAGAAUCAUGAUGACAUCCUUAGAGUGUUAUCUUAAGGUAGCCCUGUUUAGUCCUUGCCUCUUAUCCACCCGCUACAAAGAGCAGUCAGUUUAAAAAAUGGCUUGGCUCACAGAUCAGGAACCCCUCAAGAGCAAAGACCUACCUCCCCCACUGCAGCCCAGCAACCUGUAGGGUUUUCCUGCAGUCGAACAAGUGUAGCUGGAAUUGCAUUCACCCACCUGUUCCUGAGUUCUCCUGGGACACAAUGUUGGAUUGGUGGGCACUAGUAUAUUCUUUUCACAAGUGCUGGAAUAUCACUAUUUCAAACAGCUUAAUGAUCAUUGUACAUGUGCCCUGAGCAAGGCUGCAUGAAUAACUAAAAUGUCAAAUGUCUUUGUUUUAGCUGCGAUUCUAUCAACUCUGCAGGUCUCAUAAGCAUGAGCCACAUGCCAAUUAGAAUCUCUGAUGGUCAAGUAUAAAUGUCUUUGUUUCAUAAAAAUGAAAGAAUGAGUUCAUUAUCACUUAACUCCCUCUAGAAGAAAUAAUCUUUUAAAAACUUAAGAUCCAUAAGGAGGAAAGAUGGGUUGUUAAAGCAGGUCCUCCCUAAAGAUUGCUUCCUUGCCUGUGAAUAGAAUGAAUCCAAUGGCAUCAUUUCCUAGAACCAAGUUGAAUUUCCCACUGGAACCAGAAUUCCAGAAAGCCCUGGACAUCACUCUACAUGUCAAGGCUGCAGACACACACACAUCAAUUCUGAAAGAGGGAGGAUUCCAAGAGUGAUGGUGCCUGCAGGGCCUUCUGAGAUAAGAUGAGGAGUCUUUCUGGUUUCCAAGGGGAGGAACCCAAGCUACAGUCUCACUGGCACCAAAGAUUAGAGAGGUUAGUGAUUGAGGACCCAGGGAGGCAGCUGCUCUCUGAAGACUCUUCCCUAGUGGAGCUAUACCUCAGCUCAAAAAGGCAACCACAAAUCUUGUGUCCAGCACAGCUCCAAUUCAAGCAAAUUUCAUUCUCUUUCACCAAGGAAAGUCUAUACACAUACACAUGUAUAUACACACAUGUAUGUAUAUAUGUUUAUAUAUGUGUGCAUGCAUACAUACAUACAUAUGCAUGUGUAUAAAAUGGGAUUUGAAUUAUAGACUUAGACCUGUCUUUUCAUCAAAAUAAAUAAACAAACAUGAAUUUACCCAUCAGAAAACUUCAGUUGUCAGGACCUGUGUCUGAUAUUUAGCUGGGGAAAUUUCCCCUGUCACUGGGGUGGUGGAUGUUGUCUCAGAGCUGAACACUGGGCUGGUGGGGUCAUCGGAGGAUGAUGAGGAUGAAUCAAGGCUGUUCUCCCACUUUCUCCAGGGCUGUGCCUGGGACCAUAUGUGUAUGUGUGGCUGAGAGGAGGCAUGGGUCCCAAGACAUGGGUCAUCAGAGACUGAAGCUCUCCAGGGCAGCCUGAGAGAUCUGGCAGGGCUCUGGGGGCGCCUCAGUUUUGUGAAUCACCGCCAUGUGGUGCCUUUGGAGUCAGCCAGCUCUGCCUCCUAACCCCAUCCCCUCACUCACCAGAUGUGUACCUGGGUCUCAAUUUCCCCCAUCUGUCAUUGAGGACAGUCAUACCGACCUCAGGGAGGGAUCAGGUGAGAUAAAUGUGAUGAUGACCAAAAUGCAAGACAAUUACUGAUCAUGAGCAGAUGAAGUCUAGAAAGGGGGAAAUUGGUCCACAGAACACAGUGGGUCAAUGAGGGACUUAGAACGAAAACUCGAGUCUUGGGUUCCCAGGCCAGACCUCCUUUCACUGCACCAGGGAUUUCAAAGUGGGAUCCACAGAUGUACUGUCAGGGGCCCUUGAGUGAUAUGAGAGUCUUUUUUUAUUCUGAUAUUUUCAUUUUAAAAAUUGAAAAAUAUCAGUGAGACCCUAUUGGGGUUGUGUGUGGAUGAUCAUAUUAUCACCAACUAAUGCUUCAGGAAUGCAGAGUUCACAUUUGCAUUUGGGUUUACUAUCAUGUUUUUGCAAAAUGAAGGCCAAAUGACUUCAUGGACUGCUGUACAAACAAAGGUUUAGCAAUUGUUCAAACAGAGAUAAGUGGAGGGAGGAUUGAGUCAUCAAACAGAACAGGGGACACAGACAUGCCACAAAUAAGCUGCUCUGCAUUGAAGCUGGUAGAAUUGUAGUCACUGUUUUGCAAGCAGGUGCCUGAGUGAAUGCCACCUUGGUUUGCAACAACUUGCAAGACAACACUAGCAGCUGGAAAUGGUAAAUGGUAUAUAGUCUUACUAAAUGGUACAUAUUUCUAUAUAUUUUAAAUUAUUAUAUUUUGAAGUGCUCUAUUAAGUUGAUCGCUUCAUCAAAAUUCUAGGUCUGUGUUUAGAAGUGUGUUCAUUGUAAUACAUGAAAAAUAUAAUAAUAUUGAUAAUAACUCUAAUGAUGGUCUAGCAUGUCCAAACAUCAAAAUGAUCUAGUUGAUAACAAGCGGAACUUAAAUGGGAAUGUAUCCUUCUAUUAUUAAACCCAACGUUGGUUGUUUUACUUUCAGCAAAACAUCAUCUGUCACAUUAAAUUAAUGCCAUUAAUUUGAAUUUUAAUGGUUUUGUAGCUUUAUUUGCAUUUAAUUUGUAAUUGUGUUUUGGUUUUACAGCUGUGUAAGAGCUAAAAGCAUAAGAGAUUUAUACUUACUUUUAUGUUUGUAUAUAUUUAAGUAACAAUAUGAUCAAAAUAAUUCUUAUCAACACUGGGGGUCUGCAAUGAUAGCUUUCCCUUUAGAAGGCAUGUUUUAGUCAACUUUAGGAAUCACUGAGACUGCGCCACAGCACACUGCUCAAUGCACAAGAGGGAUUGCAUUUGAACAGUACUAGGUGGGAUUGGAUCCAGCCCAGUAUGUUGUGGGAAGGGCAUGUGGGGAAAAAAUUCCCCUGGGAAUUUAGGUCCAGGCUUUUCAAAGUGCUGGGUUACUUAGUCACCAUCUCAGAUGACUCAGGGACCCCAAUCAGCUACCAAUAUCUUUUGGCUCUCUUUCUGCUGUUCCUUUACCAAACAAUUUCGUGUAAUUCGGUGAUAAGCCACUGAGAGUUCAGACAGAGAUUCUUAACCUGAAUCCUAUAACAAACUUCGCUGGAGGAGAAACCCACAGCCUUCACCAGAGUGUCACCCGCAUGCUUCCAGCAUCCUCAGAGGAUGGGGCCAGCCCCAAAAUGCUGUGGGGGCAAGGGCUGGUGUGUCCCUGGACCUGACUCUGCAGCAGGCACUUUUUUCCUUGCCUUCCACUCCCACGUAAAAGCCGGCAGAGGAAAGAGACUGGAAAAGGCUGGGUCACUUCCCUGAGAUGCACAGCUGGACACUUACAAUAGACAUAGCACUGAAUCUCGUCGAUUGCUGUCAGCUACAGGUCCUCCCCAGCCUGAAGAGCCAAACUGGUUACCACAGAGGUUCUCGAGGAAGGAACCCAGUCCAGGAGGUCAGAGUCUUGGUUUCCCAAGAUGGCCGGACUACUGAGUUGCUGUGUGACCUUACACAAGUGAUUCAAACUCUCUGAAUCUUCCAGAGCUGAUAGAGCCACCGAAGCAGAGAAGGAGUGGGGGAGGAGAAGUCUGCAAGUGUGCACUGGACCGUGUCCUAAAGUGCCAGCCAGAUGGCCAUCUGUGCGCUUUGGCCUCCCCAGUCCUGCCAGGGAAGGAAGUAUGAAGCCAAAGCCAGAUGAGAGUGAAGACCUGGCCAACAGCCUCUCUGCAGACCCUGCCAAGCACAUGCCACCCCCUCGGUCAUGUGCACACACACACCUGCACACACACACUCUGCUCAGUCCUUCAGCUGGUCAGCGCUGAUGGCUCUUGUGGGGGGCCUCUGCUCUGUCCCGAUCCACCCAUGCUCACAGUCCCCCCUGCAGAAGCACUAGUAAUGCUCAGAGGACUUUCCAAAGCCCCUACGGAACCCAGGGACUGCUCACCCGUGGCUGUUGGUUAUGUCAGAUAUCGGAGAACCAGCCCCAAAGACAGGCUACUGUUGUGGGAAAGCCCAGAACAUAAGACUGCAAGGUCUGGUUCUUUCUGGAAUCACUGCACUCCCUGGAGAAGGCCACACCCCUUCCUCUUUCAGGCUUUAGCUGCGGCAUCUGUAAAAUGGUGAUCCUAACCCCUGUCCUGCCUGCCUUAUGGAGACAGUGAGGAUUAAAUGUGUGUUAGAAAGGAAAGCUCCCUGUAGGUAAGAAAGUGUUGAGCAGACCUCACAACCAAUGCUUUCCGUAUGUGCUUCCAGGAUUUCAGGGAGAUUUUUCUAUUUUCCAUGGGUGUGAUAUGUCUCCAUACAGCCUGGAGCCUAGUAUUUGUGCAGAUAGUCAGGACUGGAAGAGCUCAGAUGUUGGAGAAUUUACUGCAGGCUGGUCCUGUAUAUUGUAUCGGCUUGUCACCUUCCUCGUUCUGCACACUGGAUCUCUGUUAACAUAGCCCCUGACUCUCACAGAACUUAUUGUCAGCUCUAACCCUGUGCUUGUUUUCUGCACUCUGCUGCUAACAUUCCCAGCCCUUGUAUGGAUAGGCCUGGGGCCUCAUGGCACCCUGUUCCCAGGCCUGCAGAAAUCUGCUCUCUGGGAGCACCUCCACCAGACCUGGCUGACCGUGUCCCUGAGCCAGAAGGGGAUUAGAGGCCCCCACUGAGCUGGAGCUGGAGAUUUGGAACAGAAUACCCCCUCCCUUUCAGCUGGGCAAAAAGGAGAAGGAGCAGAGCCAACAGCCCCAGGGCUUCCUGAAGAAACUUUGCACCAGGAGCCUCCCAUUUCCUGGGCUUCUGCUGAUGGAACAAACUUUCCUCGGCCCUUGGCGGCCCAGAUUCUGGAACAGGCUACUCUGCAGUCAGGCACUGUGUGGGGGAAGGGGUGUCAGCCUGGGAUGGCAAGGACAAAGCCCCAGCCCAUGCUGCUCCCCAAUCUCUCCUUCCACCCAACUUGCUCUGUGGCCUCCAGCAAGGCCCUUCUCUUCCUGGGGCCUUAAUUUCCUCAGCUGUAGAAUGAGUCAGGGAAAUAAGAUUGGUCCGGUGAAAUGUCACAGUUGAGUGGGUCUUACAGAGGCAGAUUCUACAUGGAGAAGGGGUGUGGAGCACCACCAUCUUUUCUGAUUCCACUCUCACUUCCCAGCUCUCACAGCCUUAAAGCAAACUCCAGCUGCCCAGACCUCCACUGUGUGCCCUGGGCUCUGGGCCUUGGCUGAUCUGGUAAAUGCUGCCCCCACACGCCAAAAGGACAGAGGAAACAACUAAGAGAGUCCCCAAGGCCCAAGGCUGGAACAAUUUGAGCAACAAAAUACAUCAUGAGAGUAUCAAAUUAUAACUCCUAGAAUAAAAUAAAAAUCCAGGAGUCCACAUGGUUAUAAAUAAGUACCUGAAUAAAUAAAUAAAUGAAGGCAGCUCUUCCUUACAGAAGAGUUCCAAUUAAUAAAUGUGACAUGAACAAGGGAAAUAAAAAAACACCAUUAGAACACCACAGUAAUAAUUAUUGCAGACAAGACGCACUGAUGUAUGCUAAAAUUAAUGGGUGAAAGUUUGAGGAGAAGCAGCAUGUUCGAAUUGUCUCAAAGUAUCUCCCCCAAGAGAUUUACUAAUUAUAAAGGGGAAAGAAAAUACAGUAAUCUGCAGUGGAGAAACCCAGUAGGUGCCACCUUAAUCAAGUGACCAAGUUAACAUCACCAGUAAUAAGACGUAGCAACAUCACCACACGCCCCGAUAGGAUGCACAGAGAAGACAUUUCAUGUAUAUAGUAUUCUUGCCAAAAAAUGCAUAACAUCAAUUUCAUCAUGGGGGGACAAUCAGACUGAGGGGCAUUCUACAAAAUCACCCAUCAGUACCCUUUCAAAUGUCAAGGUCAUGGACGGCAAGGAUGCUCUGAGGAACCAUCACAGAUUGGAGGGGAUUAAGGAGAAUGACAGCUAAAUGAAACGUGAGAGCCUGGAUUGGAUCCUGGAAUAGUGGAAGGAUAUUAAGAGAAAAACUGGUGAACUCUGAAUCAAGUCUGUAUUUUAGUAACAGUAUUGCCCAAUGUUGUUAAUGUAAUGAUUUUGAUAAAUUAUACAAGAUGCUAACAUUAGGGAAAGCUAGGUGAAGGUGUACAGAAACCCUCUGUGCUAUAUUUGUAACUUUUUAAUUUCAAAUAAAAAGUAAAAAAUAAAA